rnacentral:lncRNA from 1 species
CGGCACAAUUGGUCUGGAGACAGACAGAUCGCACCUGCAUUUACAGAAGCAAAUGGAGAAUGUCCUACGUCUACCACACCUCUCACACACACUUGCUCCGCCCCGCCCUAGUUAUCUGUGCCUAACUUGGAGAGUCCUCUACGGAAGUCAUGGAGGUCGUCGAUCUUUCCAUCCAGCACCUCAAGGAAGCUCUUCAGCUCCCCCUUCAGGUGGCGCUGUCGGUCAAGAGGACUGGAGUGAGGAAUCCAUUGGAGGAGGAGAAGAAAACCCCUCGCUUUAUAGAUGGUAACGAGGAAGGCCGAUCUACAGUCAGCACUCUAGCAAGAGCUGGAAGAGGCCAAGCUGCACCAACCCCAGGACCUAAACCAUCUGUCCCAGCUGACACCGAGUCCAGCUUCUACCUCCAGCCUGGGAAUCAAGUUCCUGAAGAGCUCCUCUGAGGGAGGCCCACGCCCUCCUGAGGAGCCCGCUCUGGGCAAUGCUAGCCCACACCUCAGCAUUGCCUUUGGCUAACACACUCAGACCAGAGGGAGAGAUUCCAUCCUUUGCUGGAAAAGGAGAAGCAAUCGAUCCCUCCGGCAGGCAGGAUCAGCCAGAGCUCAGACAAGAACAUGCAGAGUCAGCAGCUGACCUGAUGCCCUGGCUGUCAGCACACUCAUCAUAGGGAUGGAAAAUAAAAAUGACAAGAGGCAGCUCUGUGGGCAGUCAGUGCCGGAGGAAGGUGGUGACGUGGGGCCACACCACAGUGGCUCUGCCUGGGCCAGUCAGGGCAAGGGAUAUACGUGGGUCAAGAAACAUGUCCCCCGAAAUCCUGCACUUAUGGAGCAUUCUCUGAAGCCCUGUGUGCUCACACUCAGGGGUUAAUGGGCUCAUGCAUCAUGGUCUAAACAGAAACCUGAGGACGUCUCCACGGGCACCCUUGAGCAUCUCAUAGUACCAUCUCGAUGCUUUGCAGAACAACAGAUGAGAGAGACGUUAGAGCUGGCUACAGGGAAAAUCUGAAUAAAACCUAAACCCUCAGUCAUCAGAGCAGGACAACGGAGAGUGUCACACAAUGGAGAGUGUUACUCAGCAGCUGGCACCCACCUUUCUCCCCUCCAAACAUAUUACUCCUUUGCCUUCCAAAUUUACAUUUUUAGAAAUAAUGAUUGGAUGGGAGCAGGGUCUCUGUGGAAACAUACUCAGAGUUUCCUGGACCAAUUUCUCAUUUGUCCUCAGGUUCCCUUCCUUAUCCUGGAGAGCCCAAGCCACAGAGAUGCCGUGGGAAGCCCACCUUCAGCAGGAGGCCAGCCUAGCGGGGGGAUGGGGGGGACCCUUGAUAGGAUUUCUGGC